GAUGAACGCUGGCGGCGUGCCUAAUACAUGCAAGUCGAGCGAACAGACGAGGAGCUUGCUCCUCUGACGUUAGCGGCGGACGGGUGAGUAACACGUGGAUAACCUACCUAUAAGACUGGGAUAACUUCGGGAAACCGGAGCUAAUACCGGAUAAUAUAUUGAACCGCAUGGUUCAAUAGUGAAAGACGGUUUUGCUGUCACUUAUAGAUGGAUCCGCGCCGCAUUAGCUAGUUGGUAAGGUAACGGCUUACCAAGGCAACGAUGCGUAGCCGACCUGAGAGGGUGAUCGGCCACACUGGAACUGAGACACGGUCCAGACUCCUACGGGAGGCAGCAGUAGGGAAUCUUCCGCAAUGGGAGAAAGCCUGACGGAGCAACGCCGCGUGAGUGAUGAAGGUCUUCGGAUCGUAAAACUCUGUUAUUAGGGAAGAACAAAUGUGUAAGUAACUAUGCACGUCUUGACGGUACCUAAUCAGAAAGCCACGGCUAAAUACGUG
rnacentral:rRNA from 1 species